AUCCGUUCACCAAAGAUCACCGCGCCGGUGGAUGUCGCGGAGACGGUGGUGGCCUAUACCUAACUACCACCACUAUUGGAUGUAUAAAGAUAUGCUAAACAUGAAUAUGGGAACGGAUUUGGGAAACAAUUAUUGAAUCGGUUGAAUCGAACAUAAAUAUGGAAGAACCCUAGCCUUCUAAACUUAAAUUAAAUGGCGUUUGGCGCGAAUCAAACUCUACCACUAUAGGUCUUUCAUUUCCUACCUCAGAUGCAACACUCUGGUAAGCUCAAAGUAAGAAAACAUCACAGAGGAGAAAAGGACUUACCAGAGAAGGCGAUCGGAAAAUUCAGCAGUGUCUUAGCUCAAGCAGAUUGAAGCUUCAAUGGCUUCUAGGAAAGAGAGCUUUGAGUAAGGUGAGGGAAGAGAGAUUGCAAUAGAGAGAGUGCAGAUUCGAGCAAAUGCCAAGGGUAGUAAAAUGUGAGUGGUGAAUUCCUUAAAUAGAAGUGAGGUUUGGCUUAGGAUCAGUUGAAAUUGACUCACUGAGUUAACUGAAAACUCGGUUGUGGUUAGAUUGAGGUCAUGUGGAAUUGGUUUUAGUGACUUGUUGAUCAUGUUGCAGGUGGAGCUCUUAAGUGACUUUGGCUUUGCACUUUGAUCAUUGACUGGCUGAACAAGUGAGUGUUACUUUUGCUUAUGAUUCAAUGCCUCAUAUGUUUAAUCCCACUGCUUGUAUUCAUCCCCUUAACUUCACUAGUUUUGCUGCAGCAUGCUUGAAUUGGCCUUGCAUUGGUACCUGUCUACUUUUAACAUCCAUUGGCCAAUCAUGUUCAAAUUUAGUUUGGCUAUAACUGACCUUGUAAGCACCUUGAUGCAGGCUUGGAAUAGGUUUUGCUUUGAGGUGUGUAUUUCACUCUGUUAAUGCAUUACUGUUUCCAAAACUGGCUUUGCAAUGCACAUGGGUGAAUCAUGUUGAAUUCCCCUUCCAAUUUAACAUGUGGUCAGACAUGGUUUCUAUUAUCAUAGAUGGUGGUUUUUCUAACAUGAUUCAGGUUUGGUAAGCUAACACGGUCCAUGGCCUGACAUUAGAUUGAUGGUGUGUGCAGCUGGUGUUGAUGGCUUGGUACAGGUCAAGCAGGACCACUGCAACAGGCUGGUUGGAAGAUCGAUUGAUGGUGUAAGCCUCAUGUUGUUGUCUUGACUAUUGCAGGAUAUUUUAUGGCCAAUGCAACAUGGUGACAAGUCCUGCAAACCCAAUGUAUUGGUGUGGUUCCAUUUAGAUUGUUGCAGCAUGAUGUGAUGCUGCACAAGACCAAGACCUUGAUGGACUGCAAGGUCACGAGGUAUGUCUGAUUGUUGAAAUUUGGCUAUAGUUGGCAUGAGUUCAGUUUAUGGACAUGUAGUAGAAAUCAAUGCCCAGGGUUGUCAUAUUUUGUAGCAGGUCUGAACUGGUUUGUAGGCUCAAAUGAUUGUAUGCUUCUGCAUGAUAAUUGUAGCUGGUAGCAGGUUUUUCUUUUCAACUUCACCGUUUUGAUAUGGUCUCCUUUGGAUUACUGCAGCAAGCUAAGGUCAUUUUGGUAACAGGUGCUAGUUCAUAGGUGCAUUUAUGCAGCAUGCUGCCACUCGGGUUUUGGUUCAGUUCAUGCUUGAUGAGGCUUGGUGCUAGUGUCCAUUGCAGGUUCCUUUGCAAGCCCCUCAUGCCUUUGUUCAAUAGAAACAAAGCAAGGUGAACGGUGCUGCCAAAUGUUGAAUGGCUUGCUGCAGCAGUAGGGCCAAAAUUGUUGUACCAUGGAUUCUCUAAUGGUGAAAUCAUGCAUUUCCUUGGCUUGGUGUAUUGUCUUUGGCUGGAGCAAGGGAUAAUGUUGUGUUGUUAGAGAGCUCUUUGGAAUUGAUUUGGGACAGACCAAGGCCAAUGGUUAGUGAUUCAAAAUGUCAAAAUAAACAUGGUGUGCAUAAUGUCAUUUACUUGGAAAUGAAGCAAUCAAAAGAAACCAUAACCAAGCAUGAAGAUUAGGUGACACAUCAAAGCAAAAGGCUAGGUCAAGUUUGGAUGAUCAAGAGAAAGUGAGAGUUGACUUUGGUCAACAUUGACCAAAAGUCAACUGUUGACCAAAGUCAACUGUUGACCAAAGUCAAAUGUUGACCAAAGUCAACUGUUGACCAAAGUCAAUAAAUGGUCAAAAUUCAAUUUUCUUGUAUUUUCUUUGUAAAUGAACAUUGAAUUGAUGGUUAUGGGCAAUUUUAGGGUUUAGGAAUUUUGGGUUGACUUUGGUCAAAGUUGACCAAAAUCAACAAUUGGUCAAAAUUGUCAAGACUUGUAAC